GACAGAGGUGCCAAGCGUUAGGCGGAAUCACUGGGCUUAAAGCGUGUGUAGGCGGAUGUCUAAGUACCUUGUGAAAUCCCAACGGCUCAACCGUGGAACGGCUGGGUAUACUGGAUGUCUUGAGCCAGCUAGGGGCUACCGGAACAAAUGGUGGAGCGGUGAAAUGCGUAGAUAUCAUUUGGAACGCCAAUGGUGAAAACAGUAGCUGGGGCUGUGCUGACGCUCGAGGCACGAAAGCGUGGGGAGCAAAAGGGAUUGAG
rnacentral:rRNA from 1 species